AACGAACGCUGGCGGCAGGCCUAACACAUGCAAGUCGAGCGAGGACUUCGGUCCUAGCGGCGGACGGGUGAGUAACGCGUGGGAACGUGCCCUUUGCUUCGGAAUAGCCCUGGGAAACUGGGAUUAAUACCGGAUGAGCCCUUUGGGGGAAAGAUUUAUCGGCGAAGGAUCGGCGCGCGUUGGAUUAGGUAGUUGGUGGGGUAAUGGCCUACCAAGCCGACGAUCCAUAGCUGGUUUGAGAGGAUGAUCCGCCACACUGGGACUGAGACACGGACCAGACUCCUACGGGAGGCAGCAGUGGGGAAUCUUAGACAAUGGGGGAAACCCUGAUAUAGCCAUGCCGCGUGAGCGAUGAAGGCCUUAGGGUUGUAAAGCUCUUUCAGCUGGGAAGAUAAUGACGGUACCAGCAGAAGAAGCCCCGGCUAACUCCGUG
rnacentral:rRNA from 1 species